rnacentral:pre_miRNA from 13 species
GACCGUCCGGGAAAAUCGAUUAUCCUAUACGGUCAUGUUAAGUUGACUGCACAGGACAAUCGAUUAUCCCGUGCGGUC